rnacentral:lncRNA from 1 species
CCCGCCAUGGUUAAGUCUUUAACCGUGGCGAUUUCGAAAACCGCCUCGGUUAAGCCAUGAUUAACCGUGACCUUAUGUCCAUGGCGGUUGCGAAAACUGCCACGGUAAAUGAAAAAUGCCCGCCACGGUUAAGUUUUUUUGUAGUAGUGUGGUUGGUCGCAAGAUAGAAUGGUUGUAACAGACUCACCAUUCAUUCAUCCCUUGAUAGACCAUCAAUCCGGAGGUUUUAUAAUUUUUUGCAAAAUAAAUAAGUUCCCCGAAUGAUUCUCUCGAUCACUCAAUGUGUAUGAAAUCCUCACCAAAGGCAUUUGUGUUUGCCAUUAAGACCUACCACUAAGGCUGAGAAUGGAGCGUUGGGAAGGUAUUAAGGGUGGGCGUACUUACGACUCUUGUGUUGCUAAGUCAAGGCCCGGACCAUGAGGAGAUACAAGUCAUACACCUUGAUUGAGAUGUGCAAGUGUGCGGAAUUUUUGGUGGUAGUCCUAUCUAAAUAUUUUUGGUUUCUCCUUGUAUCAUGACUCUCUUUAUUUGAGGAAGAGAAUGAGAGAAUGUAAACAUAUGGGCCCUAAAAAAUGGAUCAUAUAUAUAUAAUGAAGGGGAUUUUGAUAUUCCCAUCCAUGCCCUUUGGCUUUUCCUUCAUUUUUUUUCUUUUUUUUCAUGGAUAACUGAUGCCCACAUGUUUCAAAGGGAUCUCAAAGAGGAAAAUGGAGAGAUGUCAUGAUGGUGAUGUAAGGAGUAAAAUUGUGUAUGGGGAUGCGCAAACCUCAUGGUGUGAGUUUGGCAUACUUAUUUGGUCGAAGCUAAGGCGCAACUCUCAAAGUAAGACUUGGCAUAUUUAUGGUGGAUGGAAGGGUGCAUGUUGUGCGCAACUUCUUAGUGUGAGAGUGGACUUUAUUUGGUGGGUGCGUGAAUCUUAUAUCAUGGGUGCAUGACCAUAAUCUCACUCUAGGAUACCUGGGAUUUGACUCAACUCAAAGCGCCGCAAGCCGCCUAUGACUAAAGGUGUACAAACUACUAAGCAAGUCAUAUGGCCUUGGUAGGUAUUUUAUAAUCAUUGAGGAACUCUUUGUUUUGAAUUUUUGAAAAGAAAACUCCAGAUGUUAAGUUUCUCUUAGAACAAAGUCAUAGCAAAAUCUAUGUAUACCAUAUCAUGUCUUGCAACAACUUAGAAAAGGAUCAUGCAUUUGCAACCCACAAUAUUUCAAGUUCUUAGAAUGAGACAUUUUUAGCCAACAAACUUAAAUCUUGAUGAACACUAAAUUAUAACUUAGAUACUAUAGAAUUAUAGAUAGAACAACUAUUCAUCAUUUCAACAGAAGAGAAACUAAUAUAUCAUAGAGCACAUGAGAGUG